UACGUAGGGACCGAGCGUUGUCCGGAAUCAUUGGGCGUAAAGAGCGUGUAGGCGGCUUGUUAAGUCUUGCGUGAAAUCUCGGGGCUCAACCCCGAGCGGUCGUGAGAAACUGGCAGGCUAGAGUGCGGGAGAGGAGAGUGGAAUUCCUGGUGUAGCGGUGAAAUGCGCAGAUAUCAGGAAGAACACCCGUGGCGAAGGCGGCUCUCUGGAACGCAACUGACGCUGAGACGCGAAAGUGUGGGGAGCGAACAGG
rnacentral:rRNA from 1 species